GUGCACGCUGGCGGUAGGCCUAACACAUGCAAGUCGAACGGCAGCACAGUAAGAGCUUGCUCUUACGGGUGGCGAGUGGCGGACGGGUGAGGAAUACAUCGGAAUCUACUUUUUCGUGGGGGAUAACGUAGGGAAACUUACGCUAAUACCGCAUACGACCUACGGGUGAAAGCAGGGGAUCUUCGGACCUUGCGCGAUUGAAUGAGCCGAUGUCGGAUUAGCUAGUUGGCGGGGUAAAGGCCCACCAAGGCGACGAUCCGUAGCUGGUCUGAGAGGAUGAUCAGCCACACUGGAACUGAGACACGGUCCAGACUCCUACGGGAGGCAGCAGUGGGGAAUAUUGGACAAUGGGCGCAAGCCUGAUCCAGCCAUACCGCGUGGGUGAAGAAGGCCUUCGGGUUGUAAAGCCCUUUUGUUGGGAAAGAAAAGCAGCAGGUUAAUACCCCGCUGUUCUGACGGUACCCAAAGAAUAAGCACCGGCUAACUUCGU
rnacentral:rRNA from 1 species